AUUGAACGCUGGCGGCAGGCCUAACACAUGCAAGUCGAGCGGAUGAAGGGAGCUUGCUCCUGGAUUCAGCGGCGGACGGGUGAGUAAUGCCUAGGAAUCUGCCUGGUAGUGGGGGAUAACGUCCGGAAACGGGCGCUAAUACCGCAUACGUCCUGAGGGAGAAAGUGGGGGAUCUUCGGACCUCACGCUAUCAGAUGAGCCUAGGUCGGAUUAGCUAGUUGGUGGGGUAAAGGCCUACCAAGGCGACGAUCCGUAACCGGUCUGAGAGGAUGAUCAGUCAAACGUGGACUGAGACACGGGCCAGACUCCUACGGGAAGCCACAGUUGGGAAUAUUGGACAAUUGGGGAAAGGCUGAUCCAGCCAAGCCGCGUGGGUGAAGAAGGUCUUCCGAUUGGAAAGCACUUUAAGUUGGGAGGAAGGGCAGUAAGUUAAUACCUUGCUGUUUUGACGUUACCAACAGAAUAAGCACCGGCUAACUUCGUG
rnacentral:rRNA from 1 species